AUUGAACGCUGGCGGCAGGCUUAACACAUGCAAGUCGAGCGGAGUGAUGGUGCUUGCACUAUCACUUAGCGGCGGACGGGUGAGUAAUGCUUAGGAAUCUGCCUAUUAGUGGGGGACAACAUCUCGAAAGGGAUGCUAAUACCGCAUACGUCCUACGGGAGAAAGCAGGGGAUCACUUGUGACCUUGCGCUAAUAGAUGAGACUAAGUCUGAUGAGCUAGUUGGUGGGGUAAAGGCCUACCAAGGCGAAGAUCUGUAGCGGGUCUGAGAGGAUGAUCCGCCACACUGGGACUGAGACACGGCCCAGACUCCUACGGGAGGCAGCAGUGGGGAAUAUUGGACAAUGGGGGGAACCCUGAUCCAGCCAUGCCGCGUGUGUGAAGAAGGCCUUAUGGUUGUAAAGCACUUUAAGCGAGGAGGAGGCUUACCUAGUUAAUACCUGGGAUAAGUGGACGUUACUCGCAGAAUAAGCACCGGCUAACUCUGUGCCAGCCGCCGCGGUAA
rnacentral:rRNA from 1 species